rnacentral:rRNA from 1 species
GACGAACGCUGGCGGCGUGCUUAACACAUGCAAGUCGAACGAAGAGCGACGGAAGCUUGCUUCUAUCAAUCUUAGUGGCGAACGGGUGAGUAACGCGUAAUCAACCUGCCCUUCAGAGGGGGACAACAGUUGGAAACGACUGCUAAUACCGCAUACGAUCUAAUCUCGGCAUCGAGGAUGGAUGAAAGGUGGCCUCUACAUGUAAGCUAUCACUGAAGGAGGGGAUUGCGUCUGAUUAGCUAGUUGGAGGGGUAACGGCCCACCAAGGCGAUGAACAGUAGCCGGUCUGAGAGGAUGAACGGCCACAUUGGGACUGAGACACGGCCCAGACUCCUACGGGAGGCAGCAGUGGGGAAUCUUCCGCAAUGGACGAAAGUCUGACGGAGCAACGCCGCGUGAGUGAUGACGGCCUUCGGGUUGUAAAGCUCUGUUAAUCGGGACGAAAGGCCUUCUUGCGAAUAGUGAGAAGGAUUGACGGUACCGGAAUAGAAAGCCACGGCUAACUACGUG